rnacentral:rRNA from 1 species
UACGGGGGGGGCAAGCGUUGUUCGGAAUUACUGGGCGUAAAGGGCGCGUAGGCGGUUGGAUAAGUCAGCUGUGAAAACCACGGGCUUAACUCGUGGCCUGCAGUUGAGACUGUCUGGCUUGAGUGUGGGAGAGGAGAGUGGAAUUCCUGGUGUAGCGGUGAAAUGCGUAGAUAUCAGGAGGAAUACCGGUGGCGAAGGCGGCUCUCGUGGACCGCCACUGACGCUGAGACACGAAAGCGUGGGUAGCAAACAGG